UUCGCCAUCAAAAUCACAUUUUCCUCUGCUUAGAACUGAUAGGAAUCUGAUUCAUAAAUUUUCCCCCGUUCGAACCCCUUAAAAAAAUCCCAAAAGUCCAAUUCCACAAACCCAAAUUAUCAUCACACAAUCCCUUAUUCAAUCAAAUCCUAAUUUGGGUCAAAGCAAACAUGGCAAAAUUCUGAUCAGGUAUGAUAAAAAUCUGAUCUUUUUGAUUUUUUUUUUCAUUUUACAAUGAAUUCAUCAGAUUCAGAAAAAGGGUUUUUCCCAGAAGAAGUAAUACUUCAAAUCCUUGCAAGAUUACCAAUCAAAUCACUAUACAAAUGUAAAUCAGUUUGUAAAAAUUGGUACAGGAUACCUUCACAGAAUUACUUUAUUACCCUUUACAAUGAUAUCUCAUCGAAGAAUCCAAUGAUACUAGUUGAAGUCAUCAAAUCAUUUUAUGUCAAAUCUAGUUAUAUAUGUGUUGAUAGAUUUAAAGGUGUUGGUGAAUUUUCUUUGGAUUUUAUUAAGAGUGACAGGGUUAAAGUCAGAGCAUCAUGUAAUGGGUUGUUAUGUUGUGCUAGUAUUCCUAAUAAGGGGGUUUACUAUGUUUGUAAUCCAAUGACUAAAGAAUAUAAGUUGUUGCCGAAGACUCGAGAGAGGCCUAUGACUAGGUUUCAUCCUGAUGGUGAAGCUACAUUAGUUGGUUUGGGUGUGGAUAUGGUUAAAGGGAAGUUUAAUGUUGUUUUGGCGGGGUUUUAUCGUCCGUUUGGUAGGAGACCGCUUGAUUCAUUUGUUUGCUUGGUGUAUGAUUCUGAGGUGAAUUGUUGGAAAAGAUCUGUUACCUCGUUGAAUGAGGAGUUUACACAUAUGAAUAAGAAUCAAGUUGUGUUUGUGAAUGGAUAUUUGCAUUGGUUGACAUAUAGUUGUAUGUAUGUACUUGUGUUUGAUAUUGAAAAUGAUGUUUGGAGUAAGAUUUUGUUGCCUAAAGAAGUAGUGAAUGGGUGUGGACACAGAGUUCAUUUGUUGGAGUUAGAUGGAUUUUUGUCAAUGGUUCAGAUUUCGGAUUCCUGGAUGACAAUUUGGGUGUUGAAAGAUUAUGCAGAAGAAGAAUGGUAUGAGACGGAUAAAGUGAGUCUCAGGUGUAUCAAAGGACUUGUACCGAGUGUUUUUCCAAUUAGUCAGACCAGUGAAUUUGUAUUAUUGGCAACUCAAAGACAGAUAUUGGUCUAUCAUCGAAAGAGUCGAUUCUGGAAGGAAAUGUAUUCUGCGAAGAACAGUUCGACUUAUCCAUUAUGGUUCUCGGCCCAUGCUUUCAAAAGCACUAUCUUCUCUUGUCGUGAUGGUGCUGUGGACAACUCUUCUUAAUGCAGGUUCUGAUUUUAAUGAAGUUGUUGAAGCUUUUGGGUAUGAAGAAUUUCCUUUUGUUGGUGUUGCUGCUGAUGUUGGCGGGGUUUUCACUGCAAAUGAGUCUUCUUCUCAUCUUCUGAUCAGCUUUCGAUGAGGCAGAAAGAGCUUUUUUUUCGGCAGCUUCAGCUGCAUCCAUAAAGUUGCCUGUAUUUUCAAGUUUCAAGGUCAGCCUUCGUUUCCUCAGUUGCUUCGGUUAUAACCAUUGCUCCUCCCUUUGCAACCUGCAUUUUUUAUGUGUCAGGCAUUGCUCAACCUUGAAAUCCCUUUAAUAAUCUCACCGGUUCUGCCUGGCAUUACUUGUGCCAAGAUUGCACUGUACUUUUCAAUCUUUGGUGCAAGCUCUGCCCAAUUAAGAGCCCGAGUAUUCGAAGUAGUUUCCGAAGGACUGGAAGAUGAAACCCCAGAGAAGCAAGAGUGUUCAUUAAGAAAUGAAUCAAGAUCAGUCAAACCACUACCAGAUUGUUGUGAGAAAGAAACACCAUAGGUAAGAUUCAUAUCUUCCAUCGACAACGGAAAUAAGUAAUUAAGCUCGUUAAGUUUCACCACUGGCUCUUCUUUUGUUAAAGGCCACUGAAGUUCAUCACCAACCUUAAUUUGAAUAGCUAAAGUUACACUCUCAGCAGAAAGCUUAGCAAGAUUGAAGUUUCCUUUUGCGAUUUCUUCAGCUUCUCCUUCUUGAACCAAAUUAACGGUGCAUCCGGGGACUUGUAACAGCAGUUCUUCUUUGGAUGUUGUGGUAACUGGGGAUGAUUCAAAUGUAUUUUCAGGCGAGGGUUUGUUCGAAGAUGGUAGACUCUUACUAAGAAAACUGAAGAAUAUCAUGGCGGCUGGAUUUUUGUUAAGAUUUGAUGCAGGGAAAAAUGAAAGAUAAAAACUACUUUUCAUAUAGCAAAAUAUAAGAUAUAUAUAGGAGGGAGAACAGAGGAAAGCUGUAAAUGCAUCAAGUGUCCUUGCCCUUCCAGUGGAAGUAUGUCACGUAAGGCAAUGAGACUUCCGGUUGUAGAUAACUUUACAUUAAUAUAUUAUGUUGGACAAUCCUAAUUAUUGUUCCUACUGAAACUCUUACGACGUAAAUUGUCGGUACUGGCUGGUAGUGAUUCUGCUGAAGCUAAUCAACAACCUUGGACAUUUUGACUGUUCACUUUUCAACUUAAAUCUAUUACACCCCUUUAAGUUGGAUUGAACAGCAGGCUCUGUAAGUGUUCCUCCUGUAGUACAGACCAUAAUGGUGUUCAACAAAGUUAAUAAUUACAACUAGGUUGCUCUGGAAAGGCUGAUUCCCUUAGUCAUUGUUAACAUAUCUGUUUAUUUUUGUUGAAGGGCUGUUUUGAAAGUUGAAUAAGAUGCCAGUUUUUUUGCACAGUUGAAUUAGAUGCCAUAGUGAGCCUUUACUGUUCAGUUGAAUUUUCCUGAAUGAAAUAUGAGCACUACUAACCCUGCUAAGAAAAUCGUGAUACAUGGCUGCUGGAGUAGGUAUGGAGUUGGAAAUGUUGGCGGAGGAGGAUGGUGUGGAAAAGGUCAUGGGUCCAGUCCUGGUUAUGUGAUACUAGUAUACGACCAAGGAAGGGAAGCUGAUCUCGACACUAAAAAUUUCCACCUAAAUAAAUAUUGUCUGUCUUUUUAUAUGGAACUCUUCUUUUGAGUUGAGUUCCUGUUAGUACAGCUUCUGGUUUUAAUGAAGUUGUUGAAGCUUUUAGCUACGAAGAGUUGGUGGUUCUGCUAAUGUGUCUCCUCCUGAUUACAGAACCCUUUUAAUCAUGAAAUGGCUCAGAGGAAACAGAGGAUGCCGGGUCAAUUGCUUGCCGGGUCAAUUGCUUGUCGGAUUUUUACA